UCCCUCUUAGCUCAGUGGUAGAGCGCGUCACUAGUAUAACAGUGGUUUAUGACGAGGUCAGUCGUUCAAGUCGGCUAGAGGGAA